CCUACGGGUGGCAGCAGUGGGGGAUAUUGCACAAUGGGGGGAACCCUGAUGCAGCGACGCCGCGUGGGUGAAGAAGCGCCUCGGCGCGUAAAGCCCUGUCAGCAGGGAAGAAAAUGACGGUACCUGAAGAAGAAGCCCCGGCUAACUACGUGCCAGCAGCCGCGGUAAUACGUAGGGGGCAAGCGUUAUACGGAUUUACUGGGUGUAAAGGGGGCGCAGACGGCGAUGCACGCCAGGAGUGAAAGCCCGGGGCCCAACCCCGGGACUGCUCUUGGAACUGCGUGGCUAGAGUGCAGGAGGGGCAGGCGGAAUUCAUGGUGUAGCGGUGAAAUGCGUAGAUAUCAGGAGGAACACCGGUGGCGAAGGCGGCCUGCUGGACUGCAACUGACGUUGAGGCCCGAAAGCGUGGGGAGCAAACAGGAUUAGAUACCCGAGUAGUC
rnacentral:rRNA from 1 species